rnacentral:rRNA from 1 species
CUUUGGGAUAACCCUCGGAAACGGGGGCUAAUACCGGAUAUGACCUCCUGUCGCAUGGUGGGGGGUGGAAAGUUUUUCGGCCUGGGAUGGGCUCGCGGCCUAUCAGCUUGUUGGUGGGGUGAUGGCCUACCAAGGCGACGACGGGUAGCCGGCCUGAGAGGGCGACCGGCCACACUGGGGCUGAGACACGGCCCAGACUCCUACGGGAGGCAGCAGUGGGGAAUAUUGCACAAUGGGCGGAAGCCUGAUGCAGCGACGCCGCGUGAGGGAUGACGGCCUUCGGGUUGUAAACCUCUUUCAGUAGGGACGAAGCGGAAGUGACGGUACCUACAGAAGAAGCGCCGGCCAACUACGUGCCAGCAGCCGCGGUAAGACGUAGGGCGCGAGCGUUGUCCGGAUUUAUUGGGCGUAAAGAGCUCGUAGGCGGCUUGUCGCGUCGAUUGUGAAAACCCGGGGCUCAACUUCGGGCUUGCGGUCGAUACGGGCGGGCUAGAGUUCGGUAGGGGAGACUGGAAUUCCUGGUGUAGCGGUGAAAUGCGCAGAUAUCAGGAGGAACACCGGUGGCGAAGGCGGGUCUCUGGGCCGAUACUGACGCUGAGGAGCGAAAGCGUGGGGAGCGAACAGGAUUAGAUACCCUGGUAGUCCACGCUGUAAACGUUGGGCGC